rnacentral:rRNA from 1 species
GACGAACGCUGGCGGCGUGCUUAACACAUGCAAGUCGAACGGUAAGGCCCUUCGGGGUACACGAGUGGCGAACGGGUGAGUAACACGUGGGUGAUCUGCCCUGCACUUCGGGAUAAGCCUGGGAAACUGGGUCUAAUACCGGAUAGGACUCCUGGCUUCAUGGUUGGGGGUGGAGAGCGUUUGCGGUGUGGGAGGGGCCCGCGGCCUAUCAGCUUGUUGGUGGGGUAAUGGCCUACCAAGGCGACGACGGGUAAACGGCCUGGGAGGGUGACCGGUCACACUGGGACUGAGAUGCGGCCCAGACUCCGACGGGAGGCAGCAGUGGGGAAUAUUGCACAAUGGGCGCAAGCCUGAUGCAGCGACGCCGCGUGAGUGAUGACGGCCUUCGGGUUGUAAACCUCUUUCAGCUAUGACGAAGCGCAAGUGACGGUAGUAGCAGAAGAAGGACCGGCCAACUACGUGCCAGCAGCCGCCGUAA